GAACGCUAGCGGCAGGCUUAAUACAUGCAAGUCGUGGGGCAGCAUGAGUAGCAAUACUUGAUGGCGACCGGCAACGGGUGAGGAACACGUACACUAACCUUCCUUCAAGCGGGGAAUAGCCAGAGAAAUUUGGAUUAAUACCCCAUAAUAUAUUUGAUAAGGCAUCUUAUUAAUAUUAAAGCUUCGGCACUUGAUGAUGGGUGUGCGGCUGAUUAGAUAGUUGGCGGGUAACGGCCCACCAAGUCUACGAUCAGUAGCUGAUGUGAGAGCAUGAUCAGCCACACGGGCACUGAGACACGGGCCCGACUCCUACGGGAGGCAGCAGUAAGGAAUAUUGGACAAUGGACGAAAGUCUGAUCCAGCCAUGCCGCGUGAAGGAUUAAGGUCCUCUGGAUUGUAAACUUCUUUUAUAUGGGACGAAAAAAGGGCAUUCUUGUUCACUUGACGGUACCAUAUGAAUAAGCACCGGCUAACUCCGUG
rnacentral:rRNA from 1 species